rnacentral:lncRNA from 1 species
GUCUCCUCCGCAGCCCGAUUGCCGCUGCUGCUUCUGCUGCUGCAGCGCGUUCCGUGCCAAGGCUGGUUUUGCGAUUCGCCUCUGCUUGGGAGAAAAGCAAUUCGGAAUCUAAUGGGCCUGCAGAACAGGAGCAGCGUGGGUAGAGGAAUUCCUGCCGCUUGGCCCUCGCUGGCACCUCUUCCACUCCCAGAGAGAAGCGGCUGGAGUUCACGGCUGGUUCCUGACAAACUUCCUAAUUAACCUGCUGAAGAUCAGAGGACGACUAAUAGGAGCUGAACACUGCGCUGGGCCCGCCCCUCCGUU